rnacentral:rRNA from 1 species
GAUCAUGGCUCAGGAUGAACGCUAGCUACAGGCUUAACACAUGCAAGUCGAGGGGCAGCAUGGUCUUAGCUUGCUAAGGCCGAUGGCGACCGGCGCACGGGUGAGUAACGCGUAUCCAACCUGCCUUACACUCUUGGGACAGCCUUCUGAAAAGGGAGAUUAAUACAAGAUGUUAUCAUGAGUAAGCAUUUUCGCAUUGAUUAAAGGUUUACCGGUGUAAGAUGGGGAUGCGUU